AUGAUCAUACUUUAUAGGAUCACUUCUAUAGUGCGAUUGCCGGGUUUCUCGCCGAGAUUCUCGGAAUAUUGUUUCAACCACGAUGAGGGACUGUUAGUGUAAUCCUCUGAGCGGGAAGCGGUUCUUCAAGUGUUGUGCUUUGAGAGAUUUGAUGACCGUUUCUGACCCGGUUACCGAUGUGAGAGGAGAUCACGGAAGCUGAGUGUU